CGCGUACGUGUAGAAAGCGUAGCUACACAUGCAGUCGACGGCAGCACAGUAAGAGCUUGCUCUUAUGGGUGGCGAGUGGCGGACGGGUGAGGAAUACAUCGGAAUCUACUUUUUCGUGGGGGAUAACGUAGGGAAACUUACGCUAAUACCGCAUACGACCUACGGGUGAAAGCAGGGGAUCUUCGGACCUUGCGCGAUUGAAUGAGCCGAUGUCGGAUUAGCUAGUUGGCGGGGUAAAGGCCCACCAAGGCGACGAUCCGUAGCUGGUCUGAGAGGAUGAUCAGCCACACUGGAACUGAGACACGGUCCAGACUCCUACGGGAGGCAGCAGUGGGGAAUAUUGGACAAUGGGCGCAAGCCUGAUCCAGCCAUACCGCGUGGGUGAAGAAGGCCUUCGGGUUGUAAAGCCCUUUUGUUGGGAAAGAAAUCCAGCCGGCUAAUACCUGGUUGGGAUGACGGUCCCAAAGAAUAAGCACCGGCUAACUUCGUGCCAGCAGCCGCGGUAAUACGAAGGGUGCAAGCGUUACUCGGAAUUACUGGGCGUAAAGCGUGCGUAGGUGGUUGUUUAAGUCUGUUGUGAAAGCCCUGGGCUCAACCUGGGAACUGCAGUGGAAACUGGACAACUAGAGUGUGGUAGAGGGUAGCGGAAUUCCCGGUGUAGCAGUGAAAUGCGUACAGAUCGGGAGGAACAUCCAUGGCGAAGCAGCUACCUGGACCAACACUGACACUGAGGCACGAAAGCGUGGGGAGCAACAGGAUUAGAUACCCUGGUAGUCCACGCCCUAAACGAUGCGAACUGGAUGUUGGUGCAUUUGGCACGCAAUAUCGAAGCUAACGCGUUAAGUUCCCC
rnacentral:rRNA from 1 species